rnacentral:rRNA from 1 species
CAGCAGCCGCGGUAAUACGUAGGUGGCAAGCGUUGUCCGGAAUUAUUGGGCGUAAAGGGCUCGCAGGCGGUUUCUUAAGUCUGAUGUGAAAGCCCCCGGCUCAACCGGGGAGGGUCAUUGGAAACUGGGAAACUUGAGUGCAGAAGAGGAGAGUGGAAUUCCACGUGUAGCGGUGAAAUGCGUAGUGAUGUGGAGGAACACCAGUGGCGAAGGCGACUCUCUGGUCUGUAACUGACGCUGAGGAGCGAAAGCGUGGGGAGCGAACAGGAUUAGAUACCCCUGUAGUCCCUGUCUCUUAUAC